rnacentral:lncRNA from 1 species
GAAGCUGCGAGCUAGCCAAUGCGGACGUGCCUCCGUUGUCAUGUGGAAAUUUGUGGAUGACUUGACUUUGUCCUUCACGCUAUUCAAGGGCGACCCCGCGCGAGAAUGCAAUUUGCUUACCCGAAGAUUGUAAGGGGAAGCUUGGGAUACUAGAACGAAGCCUCAUCAUGGAUAAAUUUAGAAUAUAUUUUCUGGUAUCCAGAGAACAUGAGUAGAUGCUGAUAUAGUGUACUAUCUUCAGAGUGCCUUCAGCUGUCGCACUUUGCUUCUGUAAGUGGGUCGCAGCAGCAGUUUGCAUUUUGCACCUUACACCCCUUUUUCCCCUCGCGGGCGUUAAGGCUGUAAGUGUUGUUUGUCGCUUGCCGGCACACAUAUGAAGUUCUUUGUGACUUAGGCUGGCCUGACUGUUCUCCUUCGUAUUUCUGUAUAUCAAUACGAGCUUGCGACGGUGAAUGCUGCGAGCUUACAUUUCUUUCAGCUGGUAUGGCGGCGCUGAAACAUGUCUUUUCAGCAAGGCUUUGCACAACGCGUUCCAGACGGUGAUGUAGCUGCAUUCAAAAACGAGAUGUCUGCUUUUUUGUCGCCACAUGGUUUCUCUUGACACGUUUGUGUACUCUACUCCAUGAAAGCUCAUACACUCCUUCGGAACAUAUCUCGGUGUUACUUAAUCAUCUUUCACUCCUAAUGUUUUUUUCUCAUCUUUUUCGGAAGCUACAUAGAACAUGGCUUGUUAUCACCGACGGCGCUAAUCGAUUUCGUAUACGACACGGUUCGGUGCAACAGAACGAGUUGCUGCGUUUUCCAUUAGUUAUUCGUCACGAUUUCUCAACAGAACACCUGAUGCGUUUACUGUCCGCCUCUUUAGGCAGUGCGUAACCAGCCUCUGUCCCCUGAACCACAAACGGACACGUAUUGGCAUUUGAUUGCAACAUUUUGUCGAUGAAAAAUCAUGAUUGGGAAUGUUGACUGCAUGCCACAAGAAGCAGCAAUGCUGAGUUACCGGUGGGAGGAAUAGCUUAGGUAGUAUUGUCGGCAUAAAUGACGGAUGGAUAACACACAAAAGUAUAGUCCUGGACAUUUUAGCUUGCAAGACGCCU